rnacentral:rRNA from 1 species
GGGUAGAGUAAUGCGUGACCAACCUGCCCAUGCUCCAGAAUAGCUCUUGGAAACGGGUGGUAAUGCUGGAUGCUCCAACUUGACGCAUGUCUUGUUGGGAAAGUGUUUAGUGGCAUGGGAUGGGGUCGCGUCCUAUCAGCUUGUAGGCGGGGUAAUGGCCCACCUAGGCUUCGACGGGUAGCCGGCCUGAGAGGGCGGACGGCCACAUUGGGACUGAGAUACGGCCCAGACUCCUACGGGAGGCAGCAGCA